rnacentral:rRNA from 1 species
UACGUAGGGUGCAAGCGUUAAUCGGAAUUACUGGGCGUAAAGCGUACGCAGGCGGCUAUGCAAGACAGGAGUGAAAUCCCCGGGCUCAACCUGGGAACUGCAUUUGUGACUGCAUGGCUAGAGUUUGUCAGAGGGGGGUGGAAUUCCACGUGUAGCAGUGAAAUGCGUAGAGAUGUGGAGGAACACCGAUGGCGAAGGCAGCCCCCUGGGAUGUGACUGACGCUCAUGUACGAAAGCGUGGGGAGCAAACAGG